CGGGAAGUAGCUCAGCUUGGUAGAGCACAUGGUUUGGGACCAUGGGGUCGCAGGUUCGAAUCCUGUCUUCCCGG
rnacentral:tRNA from 1 species